CUUGAUAAACUGAAAGAAGAUCUGAGACAAGACCGAGAAGAUCUGGAGAGAGAAAGUGAGGUGCUGAAUAAAGAGAAAAUGGAUUUGAAGCUGUUGAUGUCUGACAUGAAGAAACAAUUUGAAAUAUUGGAAGAAAAGAGACAAAAUGUAAAAGAAGAGAGAGACUCAAUGGAAAUCCUGAAGCUUGAACUGCUCAAUAAGAUGGAACAUGUAAAAAGGCUGUUAAAUGAGGCAAAUAAAGAAAAAGCCAAUAUUAAAGUUUGUAUCCUUCAGGUUCAAAUGGAAAAAGAAAGACUUGAAGACAUUUUAAGCAAGAUUUUCUUAACACAUAGUGAACAAAAAUCAAGGAAGAUGACCUCAGAAGACAAACAAAAGAACUGGAAAUGAUGAAGAAGCAAUCACAGAGUGAAAGAGAAAAAGUGGAGAGUCUGAUGAGGAAUCUCAACAAGAAGCAAGAAGAGCUUGAACGUGCAAAGGAAA
ensembl:lncRNA